AACGAACGCUGGCGGCAUGCCUAACACAUGCAAGUCGAACGAGACCUUCGGGUCUAGUGGCGCACGGGUGCGUAACGCGUGGGAACCUGCCCUUAGGUUCGGAAUAACUCCCCGAAAGGGGUGCUAAUACCGGAUAAUGUCUUCGGACCAAAGAUUUAUCGCCUUUGGAUGGGCCCGCGUUGGAUUAGCUAGUUGGUAGGGUAAAAGCCUACCAAGGCGACGAUCCAUAGCUGGUCUGAGAGGAUGAUCAGCCACACUGGGACUGAGACACGGCCCAGACCCCUAGGGGGGGGCGCAGGGGGGAAAAUUGGACAAGGGGCGAAAGCCUGAUCCAGAAAUGCCGGGGGAGUGAUGAAGGCCUUAGGGUUGUAAAGCUUUUUUACCCGGGAUGAUAAGGACAGGACCGGGAAAAGAAACCCCGGCAAACUCCGG
rnacentral:rRNA from 1 species